rnacentral:rRNA from 1 species
GCUGACGAGUGGCGGACGGGUGAGUAAUGCUUGGGAACUUGCCUUUAGGUGGGGGAUAACAGUUGGAAACGACUGCUAAUACCGCAUAAUGUCUACGGACCAAAGGGGGCUUCGGCUCUCGCCUUGAGAGAGGCCCAAGUGAGAUUAGCUAGUUGGUGGGGUAAAGGCCUACCAAGGCAACGAUCUCUAGCUGUUCUGAGAGGAAGAUCAGCCACACUGGGACUGAGACACGGCCCAGACUCCUACGGGAGGCAGCAGUGGGGAAUAUUGCACAAUGGGGGAAACCCUGAUGCAGCCAUGCCGCGUGUGUGAAGAAGGCCUUCGGGUUGUAAAGCACUUUCAGUUGUGAGGAAAGGUUGGUAGUUAAUACCUGCCAGCUGUGACGUUAACAACAGAAGAAGCACCGGCUAACUCCGUGCCAGCAGCCGCGGUAAUACGGAGGGUGCGAGCGUUAAUCGGAAUUACUGGGCGUAAAGCGCACGCAGGCGGCUUGUUAAGCUAGAGGUGAAAGCCCCGCGCUCAACGUGGGAACUGCCUUUAGAACUGGCAGGCUAGAGUCUUGGAGAGGGGAGUGGAAUUCCAGGUGUAGCGGUGAAAUGCGUAGAUAUCUGGAGGAACAUCAGUGGCGAAGGCGGCUCCCUGGCCAAAGACUGACGCUCAUGUGCGAAAGUGUGGGUAGCGAACAGGAUUAGAUACCCUGGUAGUCCACACCGUAAACGCUGUCUACUAGCUGUUUGUGUAUUUAAUACGUGAGUAGCGA